rnacentral:rRNA from 1 species
UAAUACGUAGGGAGCAAGCGUUGUCCGGAAUCAUUGGGCGUAAAGCGCGCGUAGGCGGCCCUGUAAGUCCGUUGUGAAAGUCAAAGGCUCAACCUUUGAAAGCCGAUGGAUACUGCAGGGCUAGAGUCCGGAAGAGGCGAGUGGAAUUCCUGGUGUAGCGGUGGAAUGCGCAGAUAUCAGGAGGAACACCAAUAGCGAAGGCAGCUCGCUGGGACGGUACUGACGCUAAGGCGCGAAAGCGUGGGGAGCGAACAGGAUUAGAUACCCUGGUAGUCCACGCCCUAAACGAUGCUCACUAGGUGUUGGGGAAGCGAUUCCUUGGUACCGUAGCUAACGCGUGAAGUGAGCCGCCUGGGGAGUACGGCCGCAAGGUUA